rnacentral:rRNA from 1 species
UCGUCUAUAUACGUAUAGCAUAUCAAUAAGCGGAGGAAAAGAAACUAACUAGGAUUCCCUCAGUAACGGCGAGUGAAGCGGGAAGAGCUCAAAUUUGAAAUCUUCAAGGUUCUACCUUGACGAAUUGUAGUUUAAAGAAGUGUUUUCUGUUGAAGUUUUGGUAAAAGUUCUUUGGAAUAGGACAUCAUAGAGGGUGAGAAUCCCGUAUUUGACCAUUAUUUUCAGCUGUGUGAUACACUUUCAAAGAGUCGGAUUGUUUGGGAAUGCAAUCCAAAAUGGGUGGUAAAUUUCAUCUAAAGCUAAAUAUUGGCGAGAGACCGAUAGCGAACAAGUACCGUGAGGGAAAGAUGAAAAGAACUUUGAAAAGAGAGUUAAACAGUACGUGAAAUUGUCAAAAGGGAAGCGUUUGACACCAGUGUUGUUUUCUCGAAAAUCAAUUAAGAAUGGCUGAUUUUGUGUUGUAUUGACCUUAUCAGCUUUCUGCACUCUUUUCUGAGUCUUUUUAAUGCACUUUUCGGUUAACAAGUCAACAUCAAUUUCUUUUGUUGUAAAAGGGUCAUUGGAAGGUGGCUUUCUUUUCGGAGAAAGUGUUUAUAGCCUUGUGCCUCUACAAUCGGAGAGAUUGAGGUCUGCAGCGUAGAUCCUUCGGGGUUAGAUACAGUUUGUGCUAAGUUAUAGCUUUUCAUAGACAACUUGUUGACUAUGUUUAGUCUUGUAGCUUACUCGCUGAUGCUAUUUUACCUACGCUUAGGAUGUUGACUGAUAUGUAGUCGUA